AAUGAUAUGGCUGAGUAGGAUUACUCAGUGGCUUUUGAUAACACUGAAUUCAAAUGACUUGUCCUAUUGUUCUGAUUUCUAUUGGACCCACAUUUUUCAUUUUCUAUUCAGAGACACAAAAAUUGGAAUCUUAAAGAUGAAGAGGAAAUGAUGGAAAACGAGAGGAGAACCAUGUGAUUAGACAUCUAAAUGGAAGUAGAGAGGAAGUGCCAGCUCCAGGCCAAGACCUUAGAAGCCUGCAGGUUUCUCACUCUUACAACUCUGCCAUCAAUGGGGACACACUCAGACUGGGCUGCUGUAGAAACACAGACACGUGGAGCACAGCUAACCUGCCCUAUUUGUCUAGGUGGAAGCCAUCGUCGAUCAUGCAGCAGCUGAUCCCCAGACCCCAAGCCCAACCAAGAACAGCAGAACCAUUUACCCAACCCCCAGCUGACCCCAGAUGGAACUGGGGGAGUUGAUAAAGCUUCCAGUUUUAUCUAUGUCUAAUCACAUGGUUCUCCUCUUGUUUUCCAUCAUUUCCUGUUCAUCUUUAAGGUUCCA
rnacentral:lncRNA from 1 species